rnacentral:rRNA from 1 species
GUGAGGAAUAUUGCGCAAUGGAGGCAACUCUGACGCAGCCAUGCCGCGUGCAGGAAGAAGGCGCUACGCGUUGUAAACUGCUUUUAACCGGGAAGAAACCCCAGGACGUGUCCUGGGUUGACGGUACCGGAGGAAUAAGCACCGGCUAACUUCAUGCCAGCAGCCGCGGUAAUACGAAGGGUGCAAGCGUUAUCCGGAUUCAUUGGGUUUAAAGGGUGCGUAGGCGGAGCGUUAAGUCAGUGGUGAAAUCCUGCAGCUUAACUGUAGACUUGCCAUUGAUACUGGCGCUCUUGAGUGCGCUUGAAGUGGGCGGAAUGUGCCGUGUAGCGGUGAAAUGCUUAGAUAUGGCACAGAACACCAAUUGCGAAGGCAGCUCACUAAGGCGAUACUGACGCUGAGGCACGAAAGCGUGGGGAUCGAACAGGAUUAGAAACCCGUGUAGUCC